rnacentral:lncRNA from 1 species
AGUACUCCACCCCUCUUUUCCUGGGGUACCUCUAGUUUUGCACCAUGCACCUUUGCAGUAACAGCAAAGGGACAAGAGGGCUGUGACUCCUAUCUCAGGAGCAUGAUGAGGACCACAGCCCUUCCUGCUUAUAGCAAGGCUAUCUUCUGCCCUUUCCUGCUUGAGUCACAGGAGGCUGGUCUUCGGAGGUGGUCCUGGUGUUCUUCCAGGAUUUAUCCUAGCUGAGAUAGGUCAGCAGUCCAUCCUCAGACAACUUCACAGAGCUGGUAGACUUGAUGAUGGGAAGGUUUCCUCCCCUCUCCACUGAAACAUGGGUUAUGAAG